rnacentral:rRNA from 1 species
CCCUUAGAUGUCCUGGGCCGCACGCGUGCUACACUGACACUUACACCGAGUUUUUCCGGCCCCGAGAGGUGGCUGGUAAUCAGUAAUAGGUGUCGUGAUGGGGAUAGAUUAUUGCAAUUAUUAAUCUUCAACGAGGAAUGCCUAGUAGGCGCAAGUCAUCAGCUUGCGUCGAUUACGUCCCUGCCCUUUGUACACACCGCCCGUCGCUCCUACCGAUUGGGUGUGCUGGUGAAAUGUUCGGAUCGGCCGUUUGUCGCGGUUUCCGCGUCAUGUGGCUGAGAAGUUCAUUAAACCCUCCCACCUAGAGGAAGGAGAAGUCGUAACA